UACGGGGGGGGCAAGCGUUGUUCGGAAUUACUGGGCGUAAAGGGCUUGUAGGUGGCCAACUAAGUCAGACGUGAAAUCCCUCGGCUUAACCGGGGAACUGCGUCUGAUACUGGAUGGCUUGAGUUUGGGAGAGGGAUGCGGAAUUCCAGGUGUAGCGGUGAAAUGCGUAGAUAUCUGGAGGAACACCGGUGGCGAAGGCGGCAUCCUGGACCAAGACUGACACUAAAAAGCGCAAGCCAGGGGAGCAAACGGG
rnacentral:rRNA from 1 species